GGGCCCAUCGUUUAAUGGAUAAGACAAUGACCUUCUAAGUCGUUGAUGUAAGUUCAAUUCUUACUGGGCCCG
rnacentral:tRNA from 1 species